rnacentral:lncRNA from 1 species
AAAAUAAAUAAAUACAAUAAAAUACAUAAAAUCAUCCCUUGAAUUAGGCAUUUAGAACCCACUUUUUGGCCACUGGUUAUCUUUUAGAAGUCUCGCAUAACAACCUAAUCUUCAUUCCCUCUUCCUCCCAAAUGUCUAUUUUUAUGGAAUAAGAGAUUGAGAGACCUUCAGACAGACAGACAAAUAGGCAGAUGCUACUAUCAACUAGAUAUUCACUUAAUAACCCAAAUAAACUAACAUAUAAAAAAGAUUGAAAUUUCAGUUUCACCAAGAGAAAUAUGCACUUUAAAAGGAAUUCUUAAUGCAAAGUAAGCUUUAUUUUAUGAGACAAUUGAGCCAAAUGUUUUGUCUUGUUGGAGUCCUUACCUACUCUGAAUUGUCCUUCUUCAACAUCACCAACUUCAACCACCCCAAACAGCCCACACAACUCUUCAAUAUGAUAUUCACAUCAGCAGAUUCCAAAAAUAAAAUCAGUUUGACAUUCCAAUCAUGUACUAUCCACACACUAUUUUUGACCUGUACAGCAUACCACUGUACUGAAUACUGUGGGCAAUUGUGACACAAUGGUGAGCAUUUGUGUAACUAAACAUGUCUAUACAUAGAAAAAGGUACAGUGAAAAGAUGGUAUUACACUCUACGGAACCACCACUGUGUAUGCAGUAUAUUGUUGACUGAGACGUCGUUACGCAGCACAUGACUGCAUAUAAAAAGCCAAAUUGCUACUAAUUUCAGAAUAUAAAAAAUCCCUAUAACUCAUUAAAAAAUCGCCAAACAGAAAAUAAGGGCACAGGGAUAAAUUUUAUAUACAAAUGCAAAAAUUAAACAAAAAAUACAAGAAUGUACAACUCUGUGUAAUAAAUAAAGAUUUAAAAUUUUAAUGAAGAAUUAAAGGCAAUACCACAUAUCUCUUAAAAGCACACAUUCUGGAGACAGAGAAUGUGGAUUCAAGUACUGUCUCAACCAGUUAGUAUGGCACCAUUUCUGCAUUAAAAAAAUAUAUAUAUAUAUAUAUAUUUUGGAUCUGUUUCCUCAUCUGUAAAAUUGAAAUGAUAAUAUAAUCUGUCUGUGGUAGCCAGCCUCCAGGAUUGCCCCAAAUAACUCUUACAUGCUGGUAUUCAUGCCUGUGCUGUUCCCUCCUACAUAGCAGAAUGGGGAUGAACCAUAUAACCAUUAGGAUAUUGCAGAAUAACAAAGUGUGAUAUCUAAGGCUAUGCCGUAAAAGGCAUUGUGACUUUGCCUUGCUCUCUUUUGGAUCAUCUGCCCUGGGAAAAGCCAGCUGCCACAUCAUGAGGAUGCUCGAGCAGCCCAGAGGAAAGGUCCACAUGUAAGAAACCAAGAUCUCCUACCAAUAGCCAGCACCAACUUGGGAGCCAUAAUAAUGUAUCUGGCAAAAAUAUCCUUUAAGCAUGCAGGAGAAAUAAAGACCUUCCAGACAACCAAAAGCUGAGGGAUUUCAUUAACACCAGACCUCUCCUACAAGAAAUGCUAAAGGGAGUUCUUCAGUCUGAAAGGAAAGGAUGUUAAUAAGCAAGAAAAGAUCAUCUGAAGGUAUAAAACUCACUGGAAAUAGUUCCAACAUAAUUGAAGCAAAUAGUAAAUACUGGUUGAAUGCAUGCCAGAAAGACACUAUGCUUGGCACACAGAGAAAAAAUUCAUAGCUGUUGGUUCAAAGAACUCUGUACGGUAAAAUCUAUUGAUGUGCUCUCUUGUGAUAACUUUCUGUUCCUUUAAAGAAGCAAUAAUCCAGGACAAUGGAUGAGGCAGGAGUCACUCAUCAUUGCUGUGAGUGUGAAUCAUUGCUAUUACAAAUUUAUUCCUAAAGGAUUUCCAUCCUUUUCUUGAUAUCUUAAAUAUCAAUUUCUACUUUCUCCUACUUUUUCUAAGAUUUUAUUUUAAUUUAGCCUCUUAAUCUGUUGAAAAAUUUUAAGUUAAUUUGAUUUUUAUGUUGUUAUAUUUUUUAAUUUAUUUCUUUCAAGUUAAUUGAUUACUUCUAACUGCAAGUUCUAACUGCAAGUUAACUUCCUAUCAUUUCAG